rnacentral:rRNA from 1 species
UACGGAAGGGGCUAGCGUUGUUCGGAAUCACUGGGCGUAAAGCGCGCGUAGGCGGCCGGUCGAGUGAGGCGUGAAAGUCCUGGGCUCAACCCAGGGACGGCGCUUCAAACUGUCCGGCUGGAGUCCGGGAGAGGGUGGUGGAAUUCCGAGUGUAGAGGUGAAAUUCGUAGAUAUUCGGAGGAACACCGGUGGCGAAGGCGGCCACCUGGCCCGGUACUGACGCUCAAGCGCGAAAGCGUGGGGAGCAAACAGG